CCUACGGGAGGCAGCAGUGAGGAAUAUUGGUCAAUGGGCGCGAGCCUGAACCAGCCAAGUCGCGUGAGGGAAGACGGUCCUAUGGAUUGUAAACCUCUUUUGUCGGGGAGCAAAAGACGCCACGUGUGGCGUUCCGAGAGUACCCGAAGAAAAAGCAUCGGCUAACUCCGUGCUAGCAGCCGCGGUAAUACGGAGGAUGCGAGCGGUAUCCGGAUUUAUUGGGUUUAAAGGGUGCGCAGGCGGAAGAUCAAGUCAGCGGUAAAAUUGAGGGGCUCAACCUCUUCGAGCCGUUGAAACUGGUUAUCUAGAGUGAGCGAGAAGUAUGCGGAAUGCGAGGUGUAGCGGUGAAAUGCAUAGAUA
rnacentral:rRNA from 1 species